rnacentral:rRNA from 1 species
GAUGAACGCUGGCGGCGUGCUUAACACAUGCAAGUCGAACGAAGCACUUUAUUUGAUUUCCUUCGGGACUGAUUAUUUUGUGACUGAGUGGCGGACGGGUGAGUAACGCGUGGGUAACCUGCCUUGUACAGGGGGAUAACAGUUGGAAACGGCUGCUAAUACCGCAUAAGCGCACGGCAUCGCAUGAUGCAGUGUGGAAAACUCCGGUGGUAUAAGAUGGACCCGCGUUGGAUUAGCUAGUUGGUGAGGUAACGGCCCACCAAGGCGACGAUCCAUAGCCGACCUGAGAGGGUGACCGGCCACAUUGGGACUGAGACACGGCCCAAACUCCUACGGGAGGCAGCAGUGGGGAAUAUUGCACAAUGGGCGAAAGCCUGAUGCAGCGACGCCGCGUGAGCGAAGAAGUAUUUCGGUAUGUAAAGCUCUAUCAGCAGGGAAGAUAAUGACGGUACCUGACUAAGAAGCACCGGCUAAAUACGUG